GGGCCCGCACAAGCGGUGGAGCAUGUGGUUUAAUUCGAUGCAACGCGAAGAACCUUACCUACUCUUGACAUCCUGCGAAUUUGGUAGAGAUACCUUAGUGCCUUCGGGAACGCAGAGACAGGUGCUGCAUGGCUGUCGUCAGCUCGUGUUGUGAAAUGUUGGGUUAAGUCCCGUAACGAGCGCAACCCUUGUCCUUAUUUGCCAGCGCGUAAUGGCGGGAACUCUAAGGAGACUGCCGGUGACAAACCGGAGGAAGGUGGGGACGACGUCAAGUCAUCAUGGCCCUUACGAGUAGGGCUACACACGUGCUACAAUGGUCGGUACAAAGGGUUGCCAACUCGCGAGAGUGAGCCAAUCCCGAAAAGCCGAUCUCAGUCCGGAUCGUAGGCUGCAACUCGCCUACGUGAAGGCGGAAUCGCUAGUAAUCG
rnacentral:rRNA from 1 species